UCGUGGAGUGAUUUGUCUGCUUAAUUGCCUUAACGAACGAGACCUUAACCUGCUAACCUAGACGCGGUGAUUCUUUCGCCGUUGUGCUUCUUAGAGGGACUAUGUUUUAAAUACAUGGAAGUUUGAGGCAAUAACA
rnacentral:rRNA from 1 species